rnacentral:lncRNA from 1 species
GCUUAGAAGACUCCUCUGCUAUGAAUUUCCACAUAUUUUGGAUGAAGAAUUUGAAGGUCUCUUUGAGAUACCUCAACUCUAAAGGAGAUCUCUCUCUACUCUGCCUUCUCAGAAUGGCCCACAUCCAAUGAUUGACCAAUGGGGAAAUAUAAAGAUGAAGGCUCUACAUCAAACUCAUGACAACUCUGAUGGUCCAUUGCAAUUCCAUUGUAUCCUGAGAGAAACUUCCCCUGAUUCUACAGCUUUACCCCAGUGCUUCCAGUUGCGGUCUAUGGAUCGCCUGCUCCAUGAUCAUUGGGUGAAAAUGUCCAUUCACUACUUGCAAUUGUUAUUAAUACUAAAGUUUGAAAGUCAGCGGCGUAGAAUAAAAU